rnacentral:lncRNA from 1 species
GUCCUGGCAAUAUCACAAGAACCAUUACUGAAGAAUGGUGAAAGUGAAAAUAGUCAAUAUCAAAUUUGACCUCCAUUUUGUCAUCAUUAUAUAUGUAACAAAAAAUAUGUUCCGGCGUGACAUUUGUUCCGCUGGAACAAAUUUCAUAGGAAAUAUGUACCGCCGGAACUUAUAUCACAGAAAAUAUGUUCCAGCACUGUAAAAUUUGUUCCGGAACUAAUUUUUUGACCAAAUAUGAAAUAAGUUCCAGAACAAAUAUCAUAGCUCCAUGAAUUUUGUUCCAGUUAAUAUUAAAAGUUUUAAAUAAG